UACGGAGGGGGCUAGCGUUGUUCGGAAUUACUGGGCGUAAAGCGCACGUAGGCGGCUUUGCAAGUUAGAGGUGAAAGCCCGGGGCUCAACUCCGGAAUUGCCUUUAAGACUGCAUCGCUCGAAUUGUGGAGAGGUAAGUGGAAUUCCGAGUGUAGAGGUGAAAUUCGUAGAUAUUCGGAAGAACACCAGUGGCGAAGGCGACUUACUGGACACAUAUUGACGCUGAGGUGCGAAAGCGUGGGGAGCAAACAGG
rnacentral:rRNA from 1 species